AACGUCCCUCUCUUCCUUGUCGUCCCGUAGAUGAAAACGGGGAGGAGUCGGAUGAACCUCCCAAAGUGGAAGUCCAGGAGAUUAAGGAGACUGACGCGUUCUACUCCAAGAAGUGUAAACUGUUCUAUAAGAAAGAGACGGAGUUCAAGGAGAAGGGAGUUGGAACGCUGCAUCUGAAAAACACCUCAGACGGAAAGACGCAGCUGCUAGUCCGCGCUGACACCAACCUGGGUAACAUCCUGUUGAACAUCAUGGUCCAGCCCUCCAUCCUCUGCUCCAGAAUGGGAAAGAACAACGUGAUGGUGAUGUGUGUUCCUAACCCUGUCGUGGACCACAACAACCCUACCAACCCUGUCGCCAUGCUGAUCAGGGUCAAAACAGGAGAGGACGCUGACGAACUGCACAACAUACUGGAGGAGAAGAAAGCUUAGAGGACGAGCCACCUGAAGGGGGGUACAGGCUGCCCCCACUCCACCCUUCUGCCUAUCAACUAACCCCAGGGCCAGUCCUGUACCCCUCCACCCCAGGGCCAGUCCUGUACCCCUCCACCCCAGGGCCAGUCCUGUACCCCUCCACCCCAGGGCCAGUCCUGUACCCCUCCACCCCAGGGCCAGUCCUGUACCCCUCCACCCCAGGGCCAGUCCUGUACCCCUCCACCCCAGGGCCAGUCCUGUACCCCUCCACCCCAGGGCCAGUCCUGUACCCCUCCAUCCUAGGGCCAGUCCUGUACCCCUCCACCCCAGGGCCAGUCCUGUACCCCUCCACCCCAGUCCCCUAGCCCCUCCACACCAGGCCCCUAGCCCCUCCACCCCAGGCCCCUAGCCCCUCCACCCCAGGGCCAGUCCCCUAGCCCCUCCACCCCAGGCCCCUAGCCCCUCCACCCCAGGGCCAGUCCUGUACCUCUAGCCCCUCCACCCCAGGCCCCUAGCCCCUCCACCCCAGGGCCAGUCCUGUACCCCUAGCCCCUCCACCCCAGGCCCCUAGCCCCUCCACCCCAGGCCCCUAGCCCCUCCACCCCAGGGCCAGUCCUGUACCCCCUAGCCCCUCCACCCCAGGCCCCUAGCCCCUCCACCCCAGGCCCCUAGCCCCUCCACCCCAGGUCAUGUUUAUUUUAACCCUCUUUAUCCUUGCCUGUCUCACUGACAACUCUCCAAUCUGGAAUGGACCCUAUUCCCUAUCUAGUGCACUACUAGACCAACUAUGUCAUCUGGAACUAGUGAACUAGAAAGGGGUUAGGAGGCCAUUUUGUCAUGUGAUGCCAGAGGGGUCGUCUACAACAAGUUUUAUCUUCACACACCUGGACUGGACACACCUGGACUAAACUCACCUGGACUAAACUCACCUGGACUAAACUCACCUGUACUAGACACACUGUAACACAGAGACUCACCUGGACUAAACUCACCUGUACUAGACACACUGUCACACAGAGACUCACCUGGACUAGACCCACCUGGACUAGAUACACUGUAACACAGAGACACACCUGGACUAGACACACCUGGACUA